GGAGAAACAGGAAACUGAAGAUUUCUACACUUGACCUUACAAUUAAAGGAUAUUUCUUGCGAAUGAAUUUGACUCAGAAAUGUCUUUUAAUUGUUCGGCUAAGUUUAGUUCGGUUAAAGUCCCGAGAGGAAGACCCGCGACACCUGAGCUGGCGCCCCCUGCCGGUGGAGGGGCCGAAGUUUCAGCACCACGCCGGACCGGACAGCUCCUCGUGGACAGACUUUGUACGGAGGCCCGGAAGUGACAAAUAGACGUCACAGGAGAAUGUGAAGAAUCGUUUGCUCAGCGAGACGAUGUCGGAGUCGGAAACAUCGGAUGAAGCUAAAAGUUCAACCCUGAGUUUGGAAUAUUGCCAAGGACAAGGACGACCGCUGUUACAAAAUGAUAUAUCUGAAAUAUUAAAAUAUUAAUUUAGAGUCUUUUUAAAGUCUCAUAUUAAAUAUUUAACCAAC